rnacentral:rRNA from 1 species
AAAGAUUAAGCCAUGCAUGUCUCAGUGCAAGCUAAAUUAAAGUGAAACCGCGAAAGGCUCAUUAAAUCAGUUAUGGUUCCUUAGAUGGUACACACAGUUACUUGGAUAACUGUGGUAAUUCUAGAGCUAAUACAUGCAAAUAGAGUCCCGCACUCUGACGAGUAGGGAUGCUUUUAUUAGAUCAAAACCAAUCGGACCUCACGGUCCGUUGUUCUUGGUGACUCUGAAUAACUUUGGGCUGAUCGCACGGUCACGUACCGGCGACGCAUCUUUCAAAUGUCUGCCUUAUCAACUGUCGAUGGUAGGUUCUGCGCCUACCAUGGUUGUAACGGGUAACGGGGAAUUAGGGUUCGAUUCCGGAGAGGGAGCCUGAGAGACGGCUACCACAUCCAAGGAAGGCAGCAGGCGCGCAAAUUACCCACUCCCAGCACGGGGAGGUAGUGACGAAAAAUAACGAUGCAGAACUCUUUCCGAGGCUCUGCAAUCGGAAUGAGCACACUCUAAAUCAUUUAACGAGUAUCCAUUGGAGGGCAAGUCUGGUGCCAGCAGCUGCGGUAAUUCCAGCUCCAAUAGCGUAUAUUAAAGUUGUUGCGGUUAAAAAGCUCGUAGUUGGAUCUGUGUUCCACUCUGUCGGUUCGUUGCCCGUCAGCGUUUAACUGGCAUGCAAGUGGAACGUCCUGCCGGUUGGUAGCGCGCGCGAUCUUCUGGACGCGUGCGCGCCAGUUCAAUCCUGUCGCGGUGCCCUUUACUGGUGUGUCGAGGCAGGCCGGCACGUUUACUUUGAACAAAUUUGAGUGCUUAAAGCAGGCCGCUACGCCUGAAAACUGUUUGCAUGGAAUAAUGGAAUAGGACCUCGGUUCUAUUUUGUUGGUUUUCGGAGCCCGAGGUAAUGAUUAAUAGGGACAGGCGGGGGCAUUAGUAUUGCGACGUUAGAGGUGAAAUUCUUGGAUCGUCGCAGGACUGACCUAAGCGAAAGCAUUUGCCAAGGAUGCUUCCUUUAAUCAAGAACGAAAGUUAGAGUUGCGAAGGCGAUCAGAUACCGCCCUAGUUCUAACCAUAAACGAUGCCAGCCAGCGAUCCGUCGAAGUUCCUCCGAUGACUCGACGGGCAGCUUCCGGGAAACUAAAGCUUUUAGGUUCCGGGGGAAGUAUGGUUGCAAAGCUGAAACUUAAAGGAAUUGACGGAAGGGCACCACCAGGAGUGGAGCCUGCGGCUUAAUUUGACUCAACACGGGAAACCUCACCAGGCCCAGACACCGGAAGGAUUGACAGAUUGAGAGCUCUUUCUUGAUUCGGUGGGUGGUGGUGCAUGGCCGUUCUUAGUUGGUGGUGUGAAUUGUCUGGUUGAUUCCGAUAACGAACGAGACUCUGGCCUGCUAACUAGGCGCAAUCAAUUCCAGUAUCUUCGCUACUGGCGACAAUGUUUCUUCUUAGAGGGACAGGCGGCUUCUAGCCGCACGAGAAUGAGCAAUAACAGGUCUGUGAUGCCCUUAGAUGUUCUGGGCCGCACGCGCGCUACACUGAAGGGAUCAGCGUGUUAACGUUCCUAGGCCGAAAGGCCCGGGUAACCCGUUGAACUUCCUUCGUGCUAGGGAUUGGGGCUUGCAAUUGUUUCCCAUGAACGAGGAAUUCCCAGUAAGCGCGAGUCAUAAGCUCGCGUUGAUUACGUCCCUGCCCUUUGUACACACCGCCCGUCGCUACUACCGAUUGAACGAUUUAGUGAGGUCUUCGGAUCUUCACGCGGGAGUCGCGUUCAGUGACUACCGAUGCUGAGGAAAAGAUGACCGAACUUGAUCGUUUAAAGGAAGUAAAAGUCGUAACAAGGUU